UGGGGAAUUUUUGUCAAUGGGGGCAACCCUGAACAAGCAACGCCGCGUGGAGGACGACGACCUUCGGGUUGUAAACUCCUGUCGGAGGGGACGAAAGCGGUAGAGGUUAAUACCCUCAAUCGUUGACGGUACCCUACGAGGAAGCCCCGGCUAACUCCGUGCCAGCAGCCGCGGUAAGACGGGGGGGGCAAGCGUUGUUCGGAAUUACUGGGCGUAAAGGGCGCGCAGGCGGGUGAACAAGUCUCUCGUGAAAUCCCACGGCUCAACCGUGGAACUGCGGCAGAUACUGUUCGUCUUGAGUCCGGGAGAGGAGAGUGGAAUUCCCAGUGUAGCGGUGAAAUGCGUAGAUAUUGGGAGGAACACCGGUGGCGAAGGCGGCUCUCUGGACCGGAACUGACGCUGAGGCGCGAAAGCUAGGGUAGCAAACGGGAUUAGAUACCCCGGUAGUCCUAGCCGUAAACGAUGAGCACUUGGUGUGGCGGGUAUCGACCCCCGCCGUGCCGAAGCUAACGCAUUAAGUGCUCCGCCUGGGGAGUACGGUCGCAAGGCUG
rnacentral:rRNA from 1 species